UAGUGAGUUCACAUCACUGCCUACCGCCCAAUUCUCUUAUAAAGAUAAAGGCUUGCCUAAGCAAAGAUGAGUACCCUAUUCGUCAUUUCGUUCGGCUAUAGAAGUAUCCAAUAUCAGCUCAUGUCUUCAUACCUUGUUUGCCGUCUCUGCAUAACAGGGGUUUGAAUUUGAUGAGUAUAGGCUUAGAAGGUAUCAGGAAUCAAAAGUAGAUUACUGGAAUUACGAAAUGCACCUCUUUUGCUUUUGUCUCAUUUUUCAUCUCACUCCUACUCUAACAUUUCAGUUUCAGAGUGACCAUGGUCUGCAUUGUAUUACUACAUCGUGGGAAUGCACAUUGCACACUCAUGAUCAUGACGGGAAGCUGGAUGACCUAAAACAUUUGCUUGGUUUUUUUGCAUCGAGGUCAUUUUAUUUGUUAAGUUGCAAACAAAAAAGAGGAAUGACUGCUAGUAGUCAACUUGUCAAUGAAAUGUUCUGCUGCAACCCAUUCUUCUUCAAGGAUCCAUUACAUCUGGUUAGGUGUUGAAUACUAUGUUAUGAUUCUGUCUUUGCUGUUACACCAUCUGGGAUUAUCCAGGUAUGCACGGUCAGGCUAAGGUCCCAGAUUUUUGUGCCCCCUCCACACACACCGUAACUCCAGCCAUGCUCAUUUGUUUUCAGGUCCAAAGCUGAUAGUAUCAAACAGGACCCCAACAUUAGAUAUUGUAAAAGUUGUCUCAGACAGGACCUUAGCACUACAAAUUGAAAAAGUAAGCUGGAAAGUCAGUCUGAUCAUUUGUUACAACUACACUUAUGAUGCACCACUCUUGCAGGGUAAUUAAUUUUCUCAGCUACUUGUGUCACUUGUAAUUUGUAGGCUCCUCAUGAUCAAUUAACUGUUGCAUCCAUGCCCCUUUGGCAUCUGUGUGUCUUAUAGAUAUGCAUACCGGUGACGAAAUAUUUUCAGCUCGUGUUUACACACUACC
rnacentral:lncRNA from 1 species